ensembl:lncRNA
CGGCUUGUUACGCAAACUUGUAUUUGAGCUGUCAAGUUCAAAUACUUGAGCUCGACAGCUCUCUAGACCAGACGACUCAUUUAAAAACGUUCGUUCCGCCUUCAGUCCGGCCUUCACGGUCUACGAAGGCCACACCUUAAAGACCGACACCUUAAAGACCGACUUACAGACAAAAGACAGGAACAAGCACAGAAAACAUGGGUAAGAGGAAGAGGUCCAAACUGGAGGAUGAUUCUCUGUGACAAGUAAGACCCCGCCAGAAGAAUUUCCUACCAUCCCCUGAGGCCAUGGAGAAGCCGGACUCGGAUUCGUCUGUAUGGAAGGGGAGAUUUGGAGGUACCUGGUCAGGUCUUGGUCAGCCUUCAAAUCCCAGAUGUGGAGACUGCAGGGAUACCCAGUGAUGUUGCUAGGUACGCGUCCUGCGUCCCUGACGCAUUAAAAUCUGAAAGGACGCACUAAACUCACUAUCCAUGCGUCCCGGGGACGCAUCUCAUUUUCCCCAUGAAAAACAAUACAUUGUGAACAUUAAACAACUCGUGUUUAAUCACAGUAACUGGCCAAAGAAACCUUCUUGUGAG